CUUCUUCUCCUGGCCUUGCUCCCCUCAUCCUGUCUUUUGUCAUGCCUCUCUCUUUCCCUUCUUUCCCUUCUCUAUCUUUCCAUCUAUCUCGCUCAUCCUUUUGUCCCAUCUUCAGAAGCAGCCCGGGUCGUCUCUUUGUGUCUCUUUGUCCUCUCUCAGAUGCCAGCAGACUUCAAAGUAGGCGGGAUCCGUGAAGGGAAAGGAGGUGAAAGAGACACUGGGCUGCAAAAGCAGAACAAAAGAGAGAGAGGGAGAGGGCCCACCAGGAGUGCGUGUGUUUUGAAGUAUCUUGUUGAGGAAGACAAAGAGAAGGGCAUGUUUCUUUGCUGCUUGUCAGUUUCCCUGCUGUUCUGAGUCUCCCACCACUCUCUUCAUCUCAGCAGGCCACCGUCAUGUAUCUGAAUGCAUAAUGUGCCCACAGGUUAAUUUUAACCGAGUGAAGGAAAACGUGAAUAAUUUUAUUAUUGUAACAUUCAUGAAGGGUCCACCAGUGAAGGGUUUUUCUCUGUGAUAUAAUCAUCCUGACAAACCAAACCUGUAAAUAUCACUUUGACUCACCUGAGCAGCUGUUAACUGCGUGUGGCGGAGAAACCCUUUCAUCUUCUAAAGUGGUUCCUGUAGCUUGAUUAGAUGGCAGUGUUCCAGAGUCCACGAGGAAACAAACACUCACAGCUGCUCAGGUGUUCCCUAGAGACGUAUAAGCUCAAAUGCUAAUGCUCUGAACUUUAACUUUUUGUUCAAUAAUCUCCACUUCCUGUAAUUGUACGAUUCCUCACACACUUGUUAAUUGUUUAAUACUAUACACUUACAUAUACUCUUAUACAAUUUUCAUCAUGCAUCCUGUAAAAAGUGCUUUACAUUACACCCAUGAAGUUCAAUGCGUGAGCCCACAGUGACACUGGAACUAAAUUACACAAAAAGGUGUAUAAAUAUUUCAUGCAAAAUAUAUUUGAAUUUAUUUCUAGGCUUCUAUUAAUGCAUUGUUUUACUGUUAUGUAUUGCACAAUAACAUCUACAUUUAAUGCAAAUAUAUUUGAAUUUAUUUCUAG